ensembl:misc_RNA
ACUCAUUACAGGGAUUAUUUAUAUUAAAAACAAGCUGAGAACUGUUUGAAUUGUGAUUUUUUAAAAAGGAUAAAUACCGCACCCAUUUUUUGUCAAAAUAGCUUUGGAAAACCCUUC